rnacentral:rRNA from 1 species
UACGAAGGGUGCAAACGUUGCUCGGAAUUAUUGGGCGUAAAGCGCACGUAGGCGGCUUAGCAAGUCGGAUGUGAAGUCCCUCGGCUCAACCAAGGAAGUGCAUCCGAAACUGCUGAGCUUGAGUACGAAAGAGGAUCGCGGAAUUCCCGGUGUAGAGGUGAAAUUCGUAGAUAUCGGGAGGAACACCAGUGGCGAAGGCGGCGAUCGUGGGUCGAUACUGACGCUGAGGUGCGAAAGCGUGGGGAGCAAACAGG